rnacentral:sRNA from 1 species
AGGAGGCGCUAUCAUGCGAAGCAUGAUCAUUAAUGCGCCGACGACAGGCCGCCGAACGAAGUGAGGGGGCAGUACAUAU